GAUUGGCUGUGCAAAAAUAAAACAUGUUCUCCAAUCGGACAUUACGGAUAGUGAGCAUGAUUACUCACGGAGUAUGUCUUCUCCGUUACGGCAAAGUUUACUGAAUAAAAUAUGUAUUUUAUUCAGUAAACUUUGGUUACGGAGAGUUACCAUUGGUCCGGGAUUAAGUUAAUAAUCUCCGAGGCGAGUGCAGUACCGAUGUUCCUACUUCUGUUAAUACCCCUGCUAUUGAUCCUGCAUUAAAAGAUGUUACUAAUACGCCAGGUACUGACAUUUUAGAAUGGAAGACGAACGAGAAUGAUAUCCAGGAAAACCAACAGGAACUGAACCAUUCUCAACAAAUUUCAAACCGGGACAAUAUAAAUGACUGCAAAAAUGCAAGCCAGUAUGAAGGUACAAGUCGACAACAAGAGUUACUUGAAAAUAUUGAAGAUUCUGACGACUCAAUUAAAGAUACAGAUUAUGUUAACCAGUCAUCUUCAUCAUCUUCUAGUUGUAGUACUUGCAGCGCAUCCUCAGUUUCUGACUCUUCCUCUGAAGAGGAAAAUGUGAAACCAGAUGAUAUUAGCAAGAAAAGAAAGAUUGGUCCAGAAAAGUGGCUAAAAAAUGCAGCUAAGCGUCUUAGAAAUACAGGUAAAGAGUAUAGAAAUGCCAAGACAAAAAAGAUCUUUUUAAAAAGGCAUAUACAACUACCAUGUGAUGAAAAGUGCAAACUUAAGUGUUUUACUAAAUUUACUGAGAAGCAGUGUCUAAAUAUUUUUGGAAAUUAAAUAGUCUUCAAAGACAGCGUGAUUUUCUCAUAGCGCAAGUAUGACAGUUAUUCUUCCCCGAUACAGAUACGUUAGAGAAGGUAGUAAUCGUAAACCAAAUAACGCUUUUCACUUUGAGGUCGAGGAUAAAAGAAUUCGAGUUUGCAAAAUAUUUGUUAAGAACACUUUAUCAAUCAAUGAUCGUCCAAUCAGAACUGUUAUCAGUAAAAGGGAUCCCGAGCAUCCACAAUUUAUUAAAAGUGACUUACGCGGAAAACAUGCCAACCACAUUAAAUUAGAUGAGGAAAUAAAGCAGAGCAUACAUCAACAUAUUAAAUCAGUUCCUAGAAUACCUAGCCAUUAUUGCCGAUCCAAUACUAAUAAAGAAUUUAUCGAGGGUGGCUUAACAGUCACUAAUUUACAUCAUGAUUAUUAAAAAAAAAAACGCGAGGAAGUGGGAAAAACAGCAUCAAAUUAUGUUAUGUAUUACAAAAUAUUUAGUGAAGAAUACAACAUUUCCUUUUCUAUACCUAAAAAGGACCAAUGCCAGUUAUGCGUCGCUUUUGAAAAUGGAUGUGAUAGCGAUAAAGAAAGACUAAAGGACAAAUAUGAAGAACAUUUAAAUCAAAAAGAACCUUCGCGGAUCGAAAAAGAGGCUGACAGAGAGUCAUUAGCUUUUGUAGCUGCCUAUGAUCUCCAGGUAGUAUUACCUUGCCCGAAAGGUAUUGCAUCCUCUUCCUAUUACGUGUCCAAGUUAAAUGUAUUGAAUUUUACUAUACUAUAUAAUUUUAAUAUAUAAUUUUAUUAUAAUUUUACUAAUUUUACUAAAAUGUAUUUAGAUUUCUAUGACUGUAAAGCUUUGGCUAACUCUGUAGGCAUAGGAACUAACUUACCAUUUAAAAUUUCCGAUUUACAAGUUUUAAAAGUGCAAAAGAAUAAUCCAGAUAAGACUUUCUACAAAAUGUGUUUUGAACAAGAAAACUUUGAUGACGUAGAUAUAGAAAAGCCUAGGACCAUAAGAGGAAGAAUAACAGGGCUAAUCAAUGGAUUAUUAUUAGCUUAUCAAAAUAAAAUUGGAAUAAGCGAUAAUAAAAAGAAAAGCCUACUUUCAUUAUUUGAUGAAAACACCAAUAAAGGUUCUGCUAUUCCUAAAAUUUAUAAAAGUUGCUAUAAUAACCUUUAGGUAAACCACUUAUUAAUAUCCUGCUGUUAUA